GCUACCAAAGUGGAACGUGCGAACUUAACCGCUGCGCCACCGGGCAGGCCUAAGAACAGAUUUUUUAAAAUCCUAAUUUACAUUUAUUCCAGAAAGGCACAUACAACUUAACGUCAGUGAACGUGUUCAUUUUUUUAUUACAUAAAUAGUAUGUACUAUGAAAAUCCUACAUACUAUAAAAUCCUGUUAAAUAUACCCAUUUAGGAUGCAGAAAAGAAAAAAACCUAAGAAGACGUUUCUGUUCCAAGAUAUUUUGCAAAGAGGUUAUCCAUUUCUUAUUAUAAGAAUAAUACCCAGUGUGUCCUUAUAGCCUACUUUGACUUUCUCUCUCUAUGUAACAAUUCAAAUAUAAUGAAAAGUUACUGGGGUAACUUUUUAAAAAUAUUUCAUUAAAGGAAAGAAUUUAACAAACAAAUUUGAGUGUUUAAUAUGCUAACGGUGAGUGAUUUGAAGAUGAGGGGCUGGGAUAUAAAGAUAAGUCAGGCAUUUAUCUUUAUAUAGUACUUAGAACCUGUUGGAGAGGCCAGAGUAUGCAGAGAAUACUUGGGAAUUGAAAGCUGGAAAUGAGACUGGCAAACAGCUAGAUUUUGACUAGAGUAAGGAAACAAAAUAAGACAUUAGCAAGGGACCAUUUUAAAUGCCAGUGGCAUGCUGUGUAUUAGUCUGCCAUGGAAAAUUUGAAUGCUUAUAAAGUUGAUCAAUAUACUAGCAUUGUUUUGUAAUUAGAACACUAGUUUAAUAUCAGCAAAAUUUUGCUGACGUGCCAUUAUAAGAAUUUUUAAAGUAUUUUUUUGCACCUCCCUGAAAAUUAUGGGAGUUAGGAUAUACUAGGAAAAACAACGUCUAGAAUAAAUACAAUUUUGACUAAGCCUAUUUCCUCUGUACAAACCAAGAUACUCUGUCUGUGUUUAAUGUUGUCUAACCUUGAAAUUUCAUUUCCCUUCAACAGAGCAUGCCUUUCUGUAUCUGUUAGGUGAAAACAACUUCUUGUUUUACUUCUUAACCUCAGUUCUUGUUCCUUGUUGUUGUUAUAUUAGUAUUAAUAUUAUUAUUAAUUAAUCAGAAAGGAGAAAUACUGUUUGAGCAUUUUCAUCGCUUCAGCAAUGUUUGGUUACAUAGAGGAGUGAAUGAGAUUUGUACGACUCAACACCCACUUCGGUCUCCUCCGUCGCAUCUACCGUGUUAGUCACAUUCCUUGCUUUAGAGGGUUUCUGAUUGUUAGAAAUAACUUCUCGUUGAGCUGGAUCUAGUUCCCCUCUCCCUUACUGAUCCUUAGCAGUCUAGGGGUAUGUACGCGAAGCAUUGUUCUUAUACACAGUAACUCUUACAGCAUUUGAAAAUGACUGUUAAAUCCUGCUUGAGUCUUCUUUUUGCCAUGCUAAGGGUAAAAAGCCCUAGUUCUCAAAUCAUAUGCACAUGACAUACUUUACAGACCUUUCUCCAACCACAUUGCUAAACUCAUGACAAUGUCUGUUUGUCAGUAUACCUCUUAAAACUAGGUGGCCAGAACUGACUGACUACUUCAGAUGUGGUCUGACUAUUGCUGAAUACAAUGAAGCUUUUAUCUGGAUACUGUGCUUCUGUUAAUGCAGCCAGAAAUUUGCAUUACAUUUUUUGGCAGCGACAUUACCCUUUGAUCAUAUUGAGCUUAUGGUCAACUAAAACCUUGUCUCUUUUUCAUGUGAACUACUUUAAGUCUAAUCUUUCUCAUUCCGUGCUUGCUAGCAGAUGCUUUGAAAGUAAAUGCAGAAUAUUUUAUAUUGCAUCACUAUAAAAGUUUAACUGAAUUUAUCACAUUUCAUUCCAGUUGACUAUCUGGAGAUAUGAGCUAACAUUUGUGUAAAACAGCACAAUUUUCAUGGUGUUUUCACAUAUAUUUUUAUUUAAUCUUUACAACAACCAUCCAAGAAUCAGGAGAGAGAAACGACUUUCCACUAAGUCAGGAAUUGGCAGACACAGUACUUCGUCACAGGAUUUUUGAUUCCAGAUCCCAUGCUCCUCUUAUCACUGUUCACUUAGUAAGCAUUUAGCAUGUCCUUUGCUAUGUGGCCGUCACCAUGUAGUGCUGGUGCGUCAGUGAGCAAGACAGAUUACAGUCUCUGCUCUGUGGUAUUUAUGGCCUGGCAUAUAAAUAAUGACUGCCAGUUACUGAGCACUUUCUAUUGGGAAGGCACUGUGGUAGAUUGUAUUAUUGUUCAAAAUAUUUGUUGCCUCUGUCUGCCAGGGGCCUCUUUGUAGGAAGAUUAUGUUUCCCAUGCUGUUGACAUCAGUUUUGGACACUUGGCUUUCUUGACCAGUAAAAUGAUAGAGGAAGUGACAUGUCCCAUGUUUGAGCAGAUGUUUUAAAUUCCAUCUUGUGGUUCUGCCAGUGGCUGUUUUCCUUCUGACAUGGAACCAGCAUGCCUUAGCUAGGGCUGGCCCCAGAGUGAUGGAGCAGAAUUGAAGCCGAUCCAUGAUAGACAUUUAAUGUAAGUGAAAAAUAAGCCCUUGCAUUGUUGGCACCAUGAUUUUGGAGUCGUUUGUUACCAUAGCAUAAUAUAGCUCAAACGGGGUGUGAUACCGGCAUCAUUCAAGGUCCCUAUGAAGGUAGAUAAGACGUAGGUCUUGUCUUCAAGGAGCUGGCAGUCUUGGUGAAUGCAUUAAAUUUCCAGCAGGUAAGUGGUAGUUGGGGAAGAGGAGAGUACAUGUGUGACGAGGUCUUUGAAGGUGAGGAUCUUUCCUGACCUUCACCUCAUCCCUAGGCUGAGUUGGUCAAUAUGUUUUAAAUCCUGGGUCUGUGGUCCAGCUACUCCCUGUCACAACUUUUUAUCAUCCAAAAUUUCAUAAGCAUGUUUUCUGUGCCCUCUUUCAAAUCACCUUUUGUAAAACAAAUGUUUAAGAGGAUGGGCUUCUACAGAAAGUCAUCAGAAACUUCUGUCAUAAAUCUGUUAAUCAGCAUUCCCUAGGUAGCCUAAGAAUCUGCCUACUUGAACUAUUUCUGCAACAUAUCCAGAAAAAUAGGAGAUCCUAGAUUGUAUGUGAAUUUUAUUUGUGAACGUUCAUGUUUCCCAUAGCCACAGCUAUGGAUACACCUCACUUUGCAUAAGGUUUUUAGAGACGAAGUCCAGGGUAGGAUUCUGUGAGGAAUUUCCUUACCCAGAGAAGCUGAAGAAUACAUGGCCAGGGUUCAGGGGAGCUCUUGAAACCUUUGAAGUAAGUACAUGUAAAAUGUUAUGUAAAUAGACGUUCUGGGAUGUAGCUUUUAUCAAAUCGUCAAAGGGAAUCAUGACUGGCCUGGAAGGUUACAAACCCUGUUGUAGAGUGAGGAUAGCGAUAGAACAAUGUCCUGAGAGCACCGCGUUUAAAGGACAGAUGGGGCAGGAGCCCAGAAAGAGAUUCACAGGUUCCUUGGAAAGAACCGAGGACCAGGAGCAGAUAUGUUAUAGACGCCACUUCCUUAUUAAUCAGGUUUUUGAAAAUCUCUUCUAGAAUUUUGCAUGGAUUCUACAUCCAUUUUCAUGGCACUUCUUUAUGGUUACUUGGAAAUUACCAAAUUUCCAGAUACGUUUAAAAUCUUAGGAUAUAAUUUUUCUUGGUCCAUAAAUAUGAAUUAAAGCACUUCCUCCUUUUGCUGUGUCCUUCCUAUCUUGGGCUUCCAUUUCUUUUUCUUUUUUCCCUUAAUCCUUAUUUACCCUUCCCAGAUUAAAGAUCAAUCUUGUUUAAAAAGGCUGACUCAAGAUAGGAGUGAAACAGUUUAGGUUAUCUGUUGACAGUUGAUCCCAAGUAAGGAAGCUGGCCUUUGUUCUUUUUGUUGACAAGGCAUUUUUAAGUCUUUAAAAUUUUCCUUAACACUUAUGAUGGAUCUCUACUUUUUUUAAACAACUAUAUUGAGAUAUAAUUGUACAGUAAAGUGCACCUAUGGAAAGUGUACAAUUUGGUAAUCUUUAUAUGUGUCUACUUAUAAAACCAUCACCAUAGUCAAGAUACUGAACAUAUCUAUCACCCCCAAAAGUUUUCUGGGCCCUCUUGGUAAUCUCUCUGUUUAUUCCCCAGACAACCACUGUUUGUUUUCUUUCACUUUGCUUUAGUUGGCAUCUUCUAGAAUGCAGUAUGCACUCUUUUUUGGUCUAGCUUCUUUCACUCAGUGUGAUUAUCUUGAGAUUGUCCAUUUUGUAGCAUGUGUCAACUUCUUUCUAUUGCUGACUGGUAUUUUAUUGUAUGAACAUGCUAUAGUUUGUGUAUCCAUUCACCUCUUGAAUCGUAUGGUAGAGGUGUGUGUGUGUGUGUGUGUGUGUGACAGAGAGAGGGAUAGAGAGAUUGAUUUAUUUUAAGAAAUUGGCUCACAACAGUUGUAGGGGCUAAAGAGUCCAAAAUCUGUAGGACAGGCUAGCAGGCUAGAACCUCAGCAAGAGAGUUGAUGUUGCAGUCUUGAGUCCGAGGUCUGUAGGACAGGCUGGCAGGUUGGAAACUCAGGCAGCAUUUCUGUCUCUCUCUUGACACAGAAUUUCUUCUUCCCCAGGAAACCAGAGAUUUUUUGCUCUGAAGGCCUUCAACUGAUGGGAUGUGGCCCACCCACAUUAUCAAGGAUAUUGGGAUGAAUCAGACAGUCCUUCCCUCACUGUGGAAACAGACAAGUAAACAAACAGUUGCCAUAUGAAUUCAAUGCCAUGGUGAAGGCAGCUUAGUGUGUUGUGGGAGCACGGGAUGGGCGUUUCUGGUAAGUGGCUCUAACUUCAAUCUGUUUACCUACAGAGUCCGAUGGACUUGGUCCCUUAUUUCAGUGUAGUAUGCGUUAAAUUGCCUCAGCUAUUUGGCCUUUCCUGUGCUUUUUUGCCUCACAGUCAUAGCCCUGGGCUAAACAUAAGCAAAUUUGAAGGCCGUACGUCAGGCUGUGUCUGACCAGGUAUCUGACCAGUAAGACUUGUCUUGACAGCCCUGCUCUGCUCCUGCCACUUAAGAGCCCUGGGGCCUCAGUAUGUACCUGUGGCCAGUGAUCAGCCACUAUGAUGGCAGCAUGUCUUAUUUUAAAUAGGAAACUAUUUAGAGAUUCAUUUAAGAAGAAGAGUUGAUAUGUUCCUCCUCUCAAGUGAUACAGAUUUUUUUUUUCCAGUUGAAGAAGAUUUGCCUGAGUGAACAUAUUAGCCAGUCUUCCUCUACUUUGUGUGUGGGUUGCUGCCACAGCAUGGCUGAUGAGUGUUGUAGGUCCACGCCCAGGAUCCAAACCCAUGAACCUGGGCUGCCAAAGCAGAGCACACUGAACUGAACCGCUACACCACAGGGCCAGCCCCAGAUGCAGAUUUUAUUAAUUCCUGAUUUUUGAAAAAUUCUUAAAGGAAAACUGAGAAACAAUUUUGUUGUUUGUUUGUUUUGGCUCAUUUUCCUUUUUACUAUGUAUUUGGGGUGUGGCCAUUCCUAAGAACAUUAGCACAUGAAGUUCAUUGUUGAUGUUAUAACAUGUUCUGAAUCUUAAAAUAAGGCACCAAAAAUGCAUUCAGAGAACAGGUAGAUAAAGUAGCACUGCUGUGAUUACAGAGAAAGCGUAGUUUCCUGUUAGGCUUUUCUCUUUCAAGAGCUUAUAAUUUUCUGUAUAACCCAAACGUUAUCCCUUGGGCACUUAUGUUUUAUUCUUGCUCUUGAUUCUGUGUUAUAACGUUUGAUUGAAAAGGGAAGAUAUGAAAUUUUUGUCUCCCACACAAAGAAUCUUCAUAUUCUUAUUUUUUUGGUAAGAUUCAAUUCCAUGUGCCUGAGCCUGCCUUAGUUUGAGGAAUAGUAUCAGUAACUUUUAUCUACAAGGAGUGUCUUGGACAUUCUGUGUGUGUGUGUAUAAAAUCAAAACCCACAAAUAUGGUAUACCUUGUUGGGAAUAUUAGAUGAUAAUUCCUGGUGACUAUAUUAUAUUUGCACAGAGUAUUAGAUGACAGCCAGUUUUGACAGUCUAAUGUAGUAGGUGAUCUGGCAUUCUCCGUAUCUUGGGUCAUAUGAGGAUAAAAUUAUCCAUCUCCUGAGCCUUUAUGAGGAAGGGAACUAGAAUUUUAGAAGUGUGAACUGAGAAAAUUGGACUCAAGUUAGCAGCCUAAAAAAUGGUAAAACCAAAUUGUGUAUGAAUAACUGUUUCCCUCUUUAUUUUGUUCAUAUUGAAGAAUUGAACUAUAGAGGUAUUUUCUGUGAAAGGUGAAUAAGCUAUCCAUAGUGAAUGAUUUUAGCUUGUAUAGAAAGCAUCUUUAGCUGUACUAAAUAUAAAACUGUCAGUUCUCUGAAGGUCUCUGCGUUAAUUACUCAUCCUUCUCAGUUGACAGUGGAGGCAUGUAGCACAGGUGAGAGCAGGCUGUGGGGUUCAGAGCCCAGUCCACCAGCUGCUGUGUGGCUCUGGGCAGACAGCUCUCUGUCUCAUGCUCCUCAUUUACAAAAGUGGAUAAUACUAGUGCCUACCUAACAGGGCUGGAAUGAGGGUUAAAUGAGUUAAUAUAUGUAACAUUCUUAGAACUCUGCCUCAAAUGUGAUAAGCACUAGGUAAGUGGUAACUGAUCUUAUUAUUGAUACAUAGCUGUAGUACAUUUUAAGUAGUUGGUUUUAUUGGUGAAGUUUUCAUUGAGAAUUGGGCAUUUAAAUUAGGGCUUUGAAAGAUAAACAGGAUUUAUAAAAAAUGAUACUGAAAAUGGGAAAAACUGUGAUCAAAGUUGCAAAGAGGAGGUAAAGAAUCUUUUUCCCUUCUGUUCUCCUUUCAUUUAUUGCAAAUGUGCCUGCCGCUGAGCUCAGUACUUGAUGAACGUUACAUUAUCUUACUCAAUCUUCACAGUAACCCUACAAGAUAAGUAUUCUAAAUUUUACAGUCUGGAAAGUAGUCACAGAAAAGUAAAGUCACUUUCCCAAAGUCACAAAGUUAAAUACUUGGCCUAGUCCUGUCUGACUGUAAUGUAACUUAAUUGUUGUCUAAUACUGCCUUCCUAAGGGUAGACUAUCAGAAGAUGAUCCCAAAAGAUAUUUGAAAGGGUGGGUGCUCUGUGGUUGGACUUCUAAACAAUAAUAGAAUUAGGAUAUUAGGGAUGCAUGUGGUCACUUUGUCACAGUGAGAGACUCUGGCUACUGGGCAUGCUAGUCAUUUCAAAAGAUUGGCAAGAAAUGUGCAUGCCAGUGCUUGCUGAAUACACCGUUGUUUCCCCUGUCAUUCUAGCAGUGUGAAAGGACUUGUUUUUUUCUGAACUGAGAAUGGCAGUACUGUAUUUUGUUUGUUGAAGUUCUUAUUAUUUUUCUUAUUAGAAAUUGUACAGAUUUCCCCAGUGGCGUCCUGACUGACACCUUGGACUUCGGUGCUUUUCACACACUUUUGUUGCCUGGAAUUGACUGCUGUUUGAGCACCCUUCUCAGGUCCACACAGAGGAGUGUCUCCAACUCUGCUUCCCAGUCUUCAGCAGUUAUGGUUUCAUGUUUGUGAGGUUUGCUUGGAAUAGAAAUAGGAUGAUCUUAAUUCUAUUACUGUUCAUUCCUUCCAUCCUCUAGAUACUUUGUCGCACUUUCUUUCUUGUGAAACUUUAGAGGAAUUGGUAAUUCCGUUGUCUUACUUUUUCCUCUCAAGUAUCUCACUGGCCUUAUUCAGACUUCAAUUUUAAAUGGUUGUCCCCCCAUGUACUACUUCCUUCCAUUAAUUAGCUGAUAGUUGUUUUUUCCCUCUGUAUUUUUAAUGCCUUUUCUUUACUGUCUGGAACUCCCCUUCCCAGAAUAUAAAGCAAAUAACUUAGGUGCUAGGCUUUAUAAGACUAGAAUCAACUUAAAUAAACUAGAACCUUGGUAACUAGGAUCUUUCCCUAGAAUUUAUUUCCUUUCCUCCGCUUUUAAGGAAAAAAACAUUAUAUGGGAACAAAUAAAUACCAGAGAUUUAGCCAAAAAUUAAAAAAAUAAAAAGCAAAACCAUUCAGGAUUUGUCAGCAAACUAUUAACACCUGCUAUGUACGCUAUUAGAAACAAUGAAGAUUUUUACCUUAAAGUAAAUCUCCUAUCUGUCCCCUUUUUUUAAAGAUCAUUCCCGUCAUCUUGAAGCAAGCCUUCAUGGUCUGGACUUCUGGAACAGCCUCGUAGCCAGUUCCUUAUCCUUCCCACCUCUCCACCUUCCAGAUCAUCAUCUGUGUUACCAGCAGUCUGAUCUUUCUUAAACAGGAAUCUAGUCUUGUUUUGGGUCAUGACAGUCUUCUUUGGCUCUUCAUUGCCUAUAUCCCUAACAUGCUUCAACUUUGCAGCCUCCUUCGGAUGGUAAGCUCCGUGGAAAUAGGUAUCUUACCUACUUUAUUCGCCACUCUCUCCCCACAUCUACAUUCCAUAAAUACUUUAUUUUGUAAGUACUGUGGGCCAGGCUUUCCUGAAAGGUGUGCCUCUAAUAGGUUACAGGCUCGUUAAGAAGUACUGAUGGGUGCCUUCUACCUUUGGGAUGGCCACAUGGAGCCUGGCUCGUCCAGGGCUCCACUGAGAGUCACUGGAGUCUGAGGUCUCUGCAGAAUGGUUGGUGAUGUGCUGAACUCAGGCAAGAAGAUCCUCUGUAACCUGGACGUCUACUUCAGCAGCCCGCUUCAGAGUAUACCACUGCCCGUUGUAGAUGAGGGGCCAUGGAGCAGCUGGAGAAUUUGUGUUCCAGGUGCCUGAGGAGCCAGCACAGCUAAAGGUGCUACUAGUCAAAAGUCAGGGUAGGAAACAGAAGAGGCCAGUCAGGGGUUCCCAACUCUGGAGAGAAGUCUCAAGUCUGUCUUCACACGUGUUGGAUGCAUUUGUGGCUGACAGGCCCGUUUAGUGGCAUUCAGGUUAGCUAGAGGCUGACCAGUCUAAUAUGUAUGUUCAUCUGCAAAUUCUUUUUAUUAAUGCACAUUGAUAUGAACUUGAUAUGAACAUGUUCAAAUUGCUUUGAGACCUAUUCAUAUUAUCCCAAGAACUUUUGACAGUAUUUGCCGAUGAAAAGGAAGCUCUUUUAGAUCUUUCAACACAAUAUAAUGUCAUUGUGUGAAUGACUAAAAUAAAUUAUUUUUACUUGAGCAAAUAAAGUAUAAAGUUUGUUUAUAACUUAAUUUGCACAAUAGUUUGUUCUUAAAAUGCUGUUUAAAUUAACAUUUUAAUACCAAUAUAUUUAAAAUUCAUUGGAGGAACUUAUUUAUAUGAACUCUGGUUCAUUUUAUAAAAUGAAAAAUGUAAUUAAAACCAAGUUUAUCUUUCAUAACUUUAGAUUUUAAGAUCUUCUUAACUGAAAAGUAAAUUAAAAACAAAGAGUAGUGUUUCUAAUAUUAUUGUCAUUAUCUCAUUAUUUAUAUGGGCCCAGUUAGCCUAUUUGGUGCAAAUAAAGCCAGUGUAGUUGAUUUCUUUUUCUUGCCCAGCUUAGUUAAUGGCUAACCUGAGUUAGGCCUGGUAGAAUUCUGUAGAACGCUGCUGUUGUCACAGACAGUGGCCCUUGUGAUUGUCGGGUCUUUCAAGUACAGACUUGCUUUCAGGGGGAAGAUUUUCAAAAAAGUGUGCGUGCAAACCUAUAAACACUAUUAACAUCUAUAUAGUACUUUAUUGUUUCAAAUAUGCUUUUAUACUUAAAAUUUUAUUUAAUCCUCACAACUACUCUGUGAAUUAUUUUUAAUUCCAUAUUAUAGGGUCGUCUUAUUUUAUAGGUUGAGAAACUGAUUCUGAGUAGUUCAGUGACUUACUCAAGGUCACACAGCUAAUACAUCAGUGGAAGUGCAAGAGAUUUGAUUGAACAGAUGUGGCCUCUUUAAGGAACCAAUGUAAGACUAUGAACAAUAAAUUAAGAGUCAUUUUACCUCUUUAGAAGAGGGUUCUUUUUCUCAAGUAUAGCAUUAAGUAGAUUUCUUACUAGAGAAACUUGAAAACAAUAUUUAAAACUAAAUAAAUAUAAAUGAAUAAUUUUUCUGAAGAUUAAAACAGCUGUGAAAUUAGGUAAUUAGGUAAGCAGUAAGAAAUGUGGCAUCGAUUUGAGGUUUUAUCUAUAUAGAUGUACGUGUAUAUGUGUAUAUAUAUAUUCUGUCACUAAGUUUCACAAUUAAGGUUUCUUAAAUCCUUAUUUACUGAAAUCACCUUUUGCUUCUGUAUUGAGGCUGAAGUUGGCAAUUUUCCUCCAGAUGUGGAUUUUGAAAAUUAUGCAUACUUGUUGAAAUGUGGAUUGCAUUAUCAUGAUGCAUUUAUAGGCGCUACCCGCCAGGAUUAUGGGAAACUUUGAAUGUUGCACUUUGGCUUGCAGUCUGUACGGAUCAUGGAGAGCACUCGAUCUAUACUCAUGACCUGUUUUGUUUUGGGUGCAGUUCCAGUGUUUACUAAAGGCUGUAAAGCAGAGUUUGGAGCCUCUGCACACCCUGUUGGCUGAAGAGACUCUGCUUUUCAGUUGCUUGAGUGUUGUGUGGCCACAGACCUGCUCAGCUGACCCUGAUUCAAGUGGUCUUAACACUCAGAGUCAGCUCGGUGUUGUUGGUGACUGAUUUUACUGCAUUUAUGACCUAGGACUUUCAGUGGGCGGUAUUUUAAGAAUCUAAAAAAUGCUGGCUACCAUUCAGUCACUAUCAGUUUUGAUUAUGGUCAGAGAAUUUGGUAAAAAAAAAAAUACAAAUUUCUGAUUGCCCUAUAGUUUAAUAAAAACUAUUUCAUCAUUUUGCCAAAACACUGCCCCACCCCUGCUCCAGGUUUGAAGCGUUCCUAUGCAGGCUUUUUUUGGGUAAGUACGUAACAAAUCAACACUUAUCUAAAUAUAUGGCACUCAUCUUAUAGGAAGCUACACUUUCUUUGUUCAGAAUAGUAAUGGAGAAAAUGUGUAAUUACACCGAAAUGAUAAACUAAAGUAUCCAUUAAUGCUUCCUUGGGUUUUAGUGUAACCUUCUCCUUCCACUCCAAAUGCCUUGUGCGUUUAGUCCAUAACAUCACCACUCCAUUUAACUCAAUAGUCUUUUCAGCUUUGAUCUGUAAUGGCGCUUAGGGUGACCACAGUCCUUAUGGCCCAGGAGUGUACCAGUUUUAAAAUGGAAAAUCCCUUACCCAGGGAACCCUUUCAGACGCAGACACAUCCUCACCACAGAGCUGGUGGUUACCCUGACAGCAGGCCUAUGCUGUCAUUUAGACAUUAGGAAUGUUAUUGGACCUAUGGUAGAAACCUGGUUUGGUGGUUGUAUGAAUUUAGCAUGCAUCAGAAUCACCUGGAAGGCUUAUUAAACACAGAUUGCUGGGUUGUGUACCCCUAAUUCCUGAUCAGUUAGGUCUAGGGUGGGAGCCUGAGAAUUGCUUUUCUAACAGUUUCCUACAUGGUGCUGAUGCUGCUGGUUUGGGGACCACACUGAGAACCACUGACUUAGAUCAAGCUGUGUAGCCUGUGAAUAUAUGGUGAUGUUUUAUUCAGAAUUGUGGAGAAAAGGAACUGUUUCUCUAUCUUGCAAGCCUAACCACUAACAGCACCAAAAGAUGUUUGUGUCUGAGCUGUGAUCGAGCCACACCAAAAAGCACCUGAUCCUGUCAGAGGUGACAGAAUUGGGGAAGAGGUUAAGAAAAGCCUAGUGGAAAAGUCAUUCAUGGUAUGUAUAUACAGUAGUCCACCCUUAUCCACACAAGAUGCGUCCCAUGACCCCCAGUGGAUGCCUGAAACUGCAGAUAGUAGCGAACCCUGUAGAUACUGUGUUUUUGCCUAUACAUACAUACCUAUGGUAAAGUUUAAUUUGUAAAUUAGGCACAGUAGGAGAUUAACAACAGUAAUGAAAUAAAACAAUUAUAGUAAUAUACUGUAAUAAAAGUUAUGUGAAUGUGGUCUCUGUCUCUCUCAAAAUGUCUUAUUGUACUGUACUCACCCUUCGUCCUGUGAUGAUGUGAGAUGAUAAAAUGCCUAUGCCGUGAGAUGAAUGAUUUAGGCAUUGCGACAUAGCAUUAUUUCAGACCGCAGUUGACAUUGCAGAAAGUGAAACCAUGGGUAAGGAGGGGCUACUGUAUUUUGAUAGUUUAUAGUCAGUUUCUUAUGCAAACUUUUAUUUGUUAACCAAUUUGAAUCGCACACAGAGUAUCUGAAAUGGAUAGCUACUUCCAGAGAACAGAUAUUCAUUAUUAUAGCAGAACUGAUUUAAGCUGAGUGUAGUAGGGGUUAUAGAACCUGCCUUGCCGGCUUCUCUGAGUUAUCACUAUGAAAAUCCAUCCACAAGGUGUGAACAUGCUUUGCAAUCGGAAGGUGUCAUCACGAUGAUGAUGUAGUUUUCAACUGAGUGGUACUUUUCACUGCUUUCAUCUUCAUCAUCUCCUUGAUUGUUUUCAGAAUCCAGGAAAUUAGAUGGGGCUGCUUUAUUAUUUAUUAAUUAUUAUUAUUAAAUCAUAAUUAUUCCCCAUGACUUUUGUGACAACCUUGCAGACUUCAGUUUGCCAGGCUUGUUUGUCCUCAGUGGUUGUCAUCAGGUAGGUGGUUCCUAGAGAGUGGCUAAUAGUUCUGAAUGGCUGAGCUUGGUCAGGUCACUUCAAUUUGUACCUUAUUCCUCAUUUGUAAAA